UAUUGGUAAGUACUUUAUACUUAUAUAUAGCCGUAAUUGGACGACUGUUUCUACCCAAUACCGUAAUAUUGGUCUAUAAGUAAAAAAUUGUGUUUA
rnacentral:ncRNA from 2 species